rnacentral:rRNA from 1 species
GAGUUUGAUCCUGGCUCAGGAUGAACGCUAGCGGCAGGCUUAAUACAUGCAAGUCGAGGGGCAGCGCGGGUAGCAAUACUUGGCGGCGACCGGCAAACGGGUGCGGAACACGUACGCAACCUUCCCAAAACUGGGGAAUAGCCCUCCGAAAGGAGGAUUAAUACCCCGUAACACAAUUAAGAGGCAUCUCUUGAUUGUUAUAGCUCAGGCGGUUUUGGAUGGGCGUGCGGCUGAUUAGGUAGUUGGCGGGGUAACGGCCCACCAAGCCAUCGAUCAGUAACUGGUGUGAGAGCACGACCAGUCACACGGGCACUGAGACACGGGCCCGACUCCUACGGGAGGCAGCAGUAAGGAAUAUUGGUCAAUGGACGCAAGUCUGAACCAGCCAUGCCGCGUGAAGGAUGAAGGCCCUCUGGGUUGUAAACUUCUUUUACCUGGGACGGAAAAAGGGGAUUCUUCCUCACUUGACGGUACCAGAGGAAUAAGCACCGGCUAACUCCGUGCCAGCAGCCGCGGUAAUACGGAGGGUGCAAGCGUUAUCCGGAUUCACUGGGUUUAAAGGGUGCGUAGGUGGGCAGGUAAGUCAGUGGUGAAAUCUUCGAGCUUAACUCGGAAACUGCCAUUGAUACUAUCUGUCUUGAAUAUCCUGGAGGUGAGCGGAAUAUGUCAUGUAGCGGUGAAAUGCUUAGAUAUGACAUAGAACACCAAUUGCGAAGGCAGCUCACUACGGGAUGAUUGACGCUGAGGCACGAAAGCGUGGGGAUCAAACAGGAUUAGAUACCCUGGUAGUCCACGCCCUAAACGAUGGAUACUCGACAUAUGCGAUACACUGUAUGUGUCUGAGCGAAAGCAUUAAGUAUCCCACCUGGGAAGUACGACCGCAAGGUUGAAACUCAAAGGAAUUGACGGGGGUCCGCACAAGCG